GAUUAACGCUGGCGGCGUGCAUAACACAUGCAAGUCGAACGAAGUGGCGGACGGGUGAGUAACGCGUGAGUCACAUGCCUUAGAGAAGGGGAUCGCCUUUGGAAACGAAGACUAAUACCCUAUGCUCUAAGCUUGACUUGCGUGUGAUUAGUUAGUUGGUGAGGUAACGGGUCACCAAGACAGCGUUCAGUCGCCGGAUUUGGAGAGGGGACGGCCAUAUUGGGACUGAGACCAGUCGCAGACUCGACGGGAGGCAGCAGUGGGGAAUUAGGCACAAUGGGUGAGACCAUAAGGCAUCGACGCCGCGUGAUUUAGAAGGCCGGCGGGUUGUAAAAAUCUUUUCUAUGGGAAGCGGUACCAUAAGAAUAAGGACCGGCUAAUUACGUGCCAGCAGCCGCGGUAAUAC
rnacentral:rRNA from 1 species